UACAGAGGUGGCAAGCGUUGUCCGGAUUUAUUGGGCGUAAAGAGCGUGUAGGCGGCCAGGUAGGUCUGCUGUGAAAACUCGAGGCUCAACCUCGAGACGUCGGCGGAAACCAUCUGGCUAGAGUCCGGAAGAGGAGAGUGGAAUUCCUGGUGUAGCGGUGAAAUGCGCAGAUAUCAGGAAGAACACCCGUGGCGAAGGCGGCUCUCUGGGACGGUACUGACGCUGAAACGCGAAAGCGUGGGGAGCGAACAGG
rnacentral:rRNA from 1 species